UUUAUUUUGGCGUCGGCAUUACAAAAAGGUCAAUUAGCGUCGCAGUGUCACGCGAUGUGGGUGGGCAGCACUAGACCCUUCUGCUGAGGGAUUGCUAAGCUCGUUCCCCCUCCAGGCAAGUUGCUAUUGAUAAGGUUUUGGAAUGUGUGAGGAAGGAUGGAAAGCCCUUUUAUGAGGUCGAGAAGGCACCACUUUCUGCUGGUGGGGACCCAGAAACUUGACAGGAGAGGUGAUACCUUUUAAAGGGUCGUCAGUAUACGUGAAGAAGCAGGGCAAGCUCACAGCAUGCAAAUAUUCAAACCAGGGUAAGACACAGUCCAUCAUCCAAAAAUCACAUCCAAAGGUGAUUAAACUGUUUUCAGUCAUAAAAUUUUGCUUACAACAUUUGCUUUUCAUUUAAUAAUUGUGUGUCACUCUGUUCCCUCAGAAGUAAAGUGCUGUAUGUAAUGCCCGACUAGACACACAAGGGCAGGAGUUCCUGAGAGAGGAGGGCAGCUUCCGAGGGCAGGAGAUACAUGGUGACUUUCACUCUUGGCACCACUGCUGGCCUUGUCUUAGGAAUGUAACUCUUUCCCUUGCUCACCCACAGGGUUUAGAGGGAUCACAGCCACCACUUCACAUUACCACUCCUGGGUGGGGGUAGCUGAUUCAGGACAGAGCAUCCCCCGAGGCUGCCUCUUUGCUUCUGCACUUCUUGCAUGGCUUUAUUUCUGCAUGGAGCAUUUUGGGUCACAGCUGGAGGAGGGUACACCAGAUUUAAGGAGAGAGUCUAAGGAGCUGCCCUGACUGGCUGCUUGCCUUAAGCUCCAUCAAAUUUGGGUUAAAUUUUAGGCUGUCCUGGGACUUGAGUAGAAAUUGUUGGUGGCUUGAAAGAAAACCAGGCAGUUUGCUUAUUAAACCUUUGGUUCUUUCUUGGGGCACAGGUAACACAAGAAGUGCAAGUAGUACCUGGUGGCAAAAUCCUGGAAAAGCAACUUUGCCAAAAUGAUGCCAAGUUCAAUACUGUUCUGCCUGUGUUUGUUUCUUUGUCAUUAGCCUAAGAGGAGCUCAGGGAAGAUGAGUCAUCAGAGCUGAACAACCAAAUAGGAUCCGGAUUGCUUUAGUUCAUUCAUAUUUUUGACCUCUAGAAGAGGGGACCUCAGGAUCUGGUUGGCUUUUUAAGCCAACAGCAUCCUCUGGAUUUAAUUUUCUGGUUUGCAUACACAGAAAAGUGCUUGUAGUGUAUUUAUUGUGCUUCAUAAAGUCUUACCACUAUUAUAUCUUAUUUCACCUGUCAUGUAGCCCGUACUUUGCUGUGCAGCAUGCAGCUCAUUCACUUAUCAUACCCUCCCUGGUUUGCAGGUAAUGCCCGGGUGGUUCCCUGUGGUGUGGCUGGCCAGGGAUCACUGUGGGCAGACCCAGGAUGGAUCCACUGUGUGAGCACAAAGGGGCUGCUUAUUGAGCAGGUGGGAAGGGCACAGCCAGGCCUCCUGCUUUAUCUCUGACUGCCACUCCCCAAACUCCCCACUGCAGCAGGGCUGGUCACAGGAAGAUAUUUUUAUAUCAUAAAGUGUGGCACCUAUGGUGCAGGCAGUUACAGGAGGAGUCCAGUGUCCCUGGAAGCAGAUGCAAGCUCUUUCAGAGCCCACCCAGUCAGCAUAAACUUCAGUUUCAAGGGACACUAAACUAUAGUGGGAAAAUGUGAUGAAUGCAUUCCAACAAAUCAAGACCUCUUGAGAUUUUUGUUAUAAUUUAUCAGGUAAAAUGAAAGUUAAACCCUUGGUUUAAACAUGAGCAGUGAAGCUGGCUUCAGGGAAAGCCAAGUCUGAACCCAGCCAAUCGGUUUUGCAAAUUGUCCAUCCACAAAGUACCUCCACUCCCAGUGGGCAGCUGGCAUAUUUUCACAUGCAGCAUUUAGAAUGAAAAAAUGUUGUACCUGCUGCUGAGCAGGGUUCUUGUCUCUAACUUGCUGCAGGCUUUUCUGAUAUGCCAUAAUGAAAUCACAGUCUGGAGUCUGGAGUGAUGCUGAGUAGUUUUGCAGGAUCUGGCUGUGAGGCAGCCAGCUCACACAUAGUGAACACCUCAGUGUAUCUAAAUCCAUGGAUAACUCCUUUCUGCUUUCUUUUGUGGAGGGCAGGAGAAAGGAUACUGCCUACCCUGCUAUUACUGGAAGCCACAAAUUGAAUAUCUGAGUAUAAAAAGACUUGGCAAGUAAACCUGAUCGUACAUCAUUCUCAAUUAUUCCUUGUUAGUCCUUCUGUUGAAAAAUGGGUAAAAGGAUAAGAGUUAGCACGAACGAAGAAGAGGGAGGGAAAGAACUACUGAAAUAUGAACUUGUUGUAGUUUAUAACUUUGAUUAAAAAUAUUGUCUUAUGAUAAUCUUAGAAAAGGGUUGAUUUCCACAAAAGAGCAUUUGUGCUAUAAGCCAGUCUGGAGAGGGAGAAGUCUCUCAAAACCAAGGAAUUUUUUUUGCUCCUUUAUAACAGGAUUUUUGUGCCUUCCCUUUAUUCGACUAGAAUCAAAAGUGAAAAAUAAAGGAUCAACUUGUAAGGGAUUCUGGUAGUACUAUAAGGAAUGAGCAAAGCAACCUUGCUGUUUACUCAGUGACUGCUUCAGCACACUGUGAUGUUUCAAUCACUUGCUUCUCCUGACAAACAUCUGGCCAGACAUUAAAAGCAUCUGGAAUAGCCCAGGACUACUGCAAAAUUGCAAUCGUGUUUAUGCUUCCUCUUGGUGACCCCCAAGGGAAGUCGCUGUGGGUGUUGUCCACUGAGCUGAAUUUGGGGCAGAAAGAGGAGGUUUGGUGUGUGCCUGUCGCUCUAGAGCCUCAAGGAACAAGGGUUGGUUUGCAAAUCCAAGUGAAUUAAAGAGAAAUCAGAGUCUUGAACUUGAAAGCCUAAAUCCCAAACAUAUUGCACUUCAGGAGUGUGCAUGCUGUAGUUAUGAGCAGUCCAUAAAAGCAGCCAGUGGGGCUGGGUUAGAAAGCAAAGGGAGGUCACCCCCUCUUUUCCUGCUCUUCCCAUUUCAGCUUAAUAUCCAUUUCAGCUCCCUGCUCCUCCCGCCUUGGCUCUUGUGUGCUGUGCCUGGGUCUGGGGAAGUGGCGUCAUGCUCUGCCUCUGCACGUCAGUGCCAGCUGAUUUGUGGAGCUGUGCUGGGUGUUUGCAGAGCAAGAGAGGCCUCUGAAGGAUAGUCCUGCAGGAUGGAAAGCUUUCAGUCAGCACCUUAAGGCAGUGUGCUACUAAAGAUGGUGGAACAAAAUACUGCUGUGAAGUGAUGUUCAGAUGGAGUUUGAAGAAACUGUUUGGUUUUGAAGGCAGCACGAGGCAAAUUUUUCUGCCUUUGCAGAGCUGUUGAAAGACAAGAAGUGUUAUAUUUGUCUAAGAAGAUAAGAAAACUAAAUUUACUGGGAAUUUCAGAAUUGUAUCCACUUGUGAAGCGUCAAGAAACGGUAUACAAGAGGACUUAAGCUUAAAAUGAAGACAAUGUUAAGAUUUAUCAACUGCCAGCAUGUACCUAGUGUGAUGGAAGUUGGUUUUCAUUGCUCCUUUUCUCCCUUGUCCUGCCUUUUGUCUAGUGACAUUCAAGGGCCGAUACUGCCUUGAAAUGACCUCACUACCUACCAGUUACCAAGAGAGAAGCCAAUGUUCCAAGAGCUGCAGAAUCUUGGCAUGGAGAGAAUUACUUAUUGCCAGAAGGAAUGCAUUGACUCAGCCUAUUUCCAUCGCAGCACAUUUAAAGGGGAGAAGGAGGAAAGUAGUCAAUGAAAUAAAGUUUUGACUACACAGAGACUUCAUAAAAUGAUAAUGUAUGAAUAAACAUCUCUGCUUAUCUCAACGUAUGAAGUUUUAUAGCAGCAUACAACUGAUUGCACUAGCAAGGCUUAUUUCCAUAGUGAGAAGGAAGAAAGAUGGGGGAACAGCUUUGCAAAAUAUCCUGACCCUGAGUAAGGACUAAUCCCAUCACCAAUUACUGAAUAUCGCUAUAAAGAAGGUGGGGGGGAACAAUCUGAAUCCUAAUAUUAGUUAAUCCUUUUGUUUGAUAGCAUAUAAUAAUUACUAUCACCUUUCCUAUGUUUCAGUCAGUGCAAAAUGAACUAUAAAAAAUUCAUCACGUGUUUUAAUAUCAUGCUGAAAUUAUGACUAGGCAGUCUAUUCAAUUUAGUCCUAAUAACUAACUAUAACUGUCAUGUUCAACAAACAGCAAAUAGGAAUUAGAUUGUUCAUAAACACAGUAAAAUUCUGCCUGUGCCUACUACUAAUAAAAACCUUAUUCCUUCUACCAACUAGAAUCUAAUGCAAAAUAGCCUGUGGCAAUAUAUAAUUCUUACUCAACUGGCACAUGGUCUUCCUAGAAACUUUUUUUAAAGCAUACACAUGAACAGCCAAUUAAGUACAGUAAGGUCUCUAAAUAUGAGUACAAUUCCUAGAAAUUUACUGAGGCAGACCACUGGCCAGACAGCUUCAGUCCAUAACUAUUGCACUUCAUUGUUUUCCACUGAAUCACUGUUUUUGUUAUGCCACACAAAAUGAAGAAAAGGUUCUUCUUUCCUAUUUUGAAGUUUUUUGUCCUAAUGCACUCAGAUUUCAAUAUGCUACUGCACAUGGCACUUUCUUCCCCCAUCAUUAUUCACACUUCUUGCAAGUCAGAGAGAUGGGAUGAUAUGGAAAGGAUUUAAAAUAUGCAUAUAUCAAAUUCCUUCCUUCUCAAUGGAGACUCCAGGAAAUAGACACUCAAUAGCAAAACAUUUCUGUGCACUGAAACACUGAACAGAGUUUAGGCAGCACAAUUUGAGCAAUGCUGAGCAAACAUGCAGUUUGAGAUAAGCGCACAGUGCAUGUUUAUCCACACUACUUGCUGCUCUUGAAGUGCUCUGUGUGCUGUGACAUUCCCUGUCACAACUGCUGUAUGCUGAACACAUGUUGUUACAUUUACUUCUGAUCAAUGGAACUGGACUACUUGGUUUCUUCAAAACUUACUCUUCCUACUUUUAAUCUGAACAUGCCAAGCAGUUGGAUCUUGGCACGCAGACCAAUCACUUUACUGAUAGUUUGAAUCUACAGCUCUUCAAGAAAAUUUUGUAUUUAGCUCUUCUUAAAAGCAACCAUAUGCUGAUAGUGCCACUAAGUACAAAAGCAUGACACAGAAUUCAAAAGCAGGUAGCUCCUACAUGGAAGUCACCCUCCAAUUUCUAGAGCUUUGUACAAUCUAUGUGGUACAGGACCCAAACACGGAGAUUUCCCAUCACUAACACUUUAGACAAUACCUUAUCCUUGGGGAACACACAUCUUACCAUAUCUUCCAGUGUUUUAAGGUGAAAUAUUAACUAGCUUUCAUAUUUUAAAAAAGUACUUUAUGCAGAAUGGCAUGGAGAAUCAGUUGUAAAUGAAGAUUCAAAUUGUUAAAACUGCUAUUUAAUUCAGUCUGUCUUCAAAACCAAUUUGGAUUGUUCACCACACUGCAGCUAAAAGUUAAAAUGCCAAUGUCUUCAUGUUUACAGUUGUACCUCUAAACACAUCAUAUCUGUCUUCCCUCUCUUCUGUAAGCAAGCUAAUACAAUUUGGCUAUAAAACUGUAAGAGGAAUUGUCAUUUCAGAAACUUACUGGAUUCCUAGCUCAUUUUUGAAUGCCAGCAACCAUAGCAAGUUCAGUAUUGCAGCCACAGCAAAUGUGCAAGUAAAUUAUGGACCGCAAAUCUUUGACAAGGAGCAAAGUAGUGACCUCGGGUGGCAAGCCAGCAUCCUUGCAAAGGUAAGCUCAUGCAAAACUAGCAGGUGUAUGAGGAAGCUUCAAAUCCCAAGACCCAGAAAUCAUUGCCAAGGGAAAACAAAAAUUUGCUGCAAUUUAACAGUGCUUUGUGCAAAGUGACAAAAUAUAAAACCAAUAAAACAAAAAGUAUACAAUAAAAAGGACACAAUUCUGGAAAUCUUUAUACAAUGUACAGUUUUGCAGAAAAUUUUUUAAUCCAGACUAAGCAAAGAUACUUACUCAUUGACUUCACACACAAACCGUUUUACGAUUGUCAAUAGCAAGACUCUGACAAACAUCUGUAAGAGCAGGGAAACUGUAAAAGCUAGAAAUCUGGCCUUUAUUAAUGAUAUUUAACUUACAUUUAAAUGUAAGUUGGUCUAGAGUGGUUCACAUUUAGGGAAGUUGUCUAUGAAAGAAAAGCAAAUUUACCUAGUAAUUCUUAAUGCAUCCACAAGUUGAAAAAGAAAUAUAAACACAAUCAGACCACUUUGGUUCCUGCAAUGAAGUAACUGACUAAAUAUUGAAUACUGAGACUUCUGUUGUCUGAUUUUUCCAGAAAGUUUAACCAUUAAUAUACUUUUAAUUCUGGAAAUAGCUUUCCAGCUAAGUUGCUCUCUAUGCUCUUCCCUUCCCAGUUCACUAAAUUCUAAAGCACCAAAUAAAAUCUGUAGAUUUUUACUACAAAUAUUUUUGUCUUUUUUCAGCUCAUUUUGAUAAUUCUUCCUGUCACUGAAAUAGCUGCAGACCAGCUGCCCAACUGCUCCGAGUGCUUUAUACUUUGGUAAGGCUGCCUAACAGGUAACAGUUGUGCAUUUGAGCUACACAAAUGUCCUUUCAGCUGCAAGUCCCACCUUCCGAGUGUCUGCAAAAGGUGGAAGAAGAGGGCCAAGGUGCUGGAGUAACUUAUACGAACAAUGGUAAAGUCACACUAAUUCUGUCUACUACAGCAUCACACCUGGGACUGACUGUCCACACAACCCUUACAUCUGCUCUGAGUCUGUACAAAGACAGAAACCUUGGAUUCUCUAUUCCCUAUUCUGUAUUUAACUGUACUUGGUAGCUUUAACACAUUGUUUUGAAAAUUUUAACACAACCAACUAGGUAUGCCACUAUGCCUUCACUGUUCUAUAGGUAAAAUGCCCCUAGUUAAAUUCACAAACAUUAUUUUUACAUUUCCUGUCAAUUAUUUAGAUUACUGAUGAACCUUUAUCACAGAAUUUUUACAGUUCAAAGCUCUACACAUAAAAAUAUUCAUAAUGUGUUCUUCUCUUGAAAAUGUCACACAAGGUUAUUAAAUUCAGAACCUUGUUUUAAAAUAAAUGGUCAGGAAACAUUUAAACAACAGGAACUGGCAAUAUUGACAUAUAGAGAAACACUGAAUAUUUAAUUUUCAUUUGCUUUGCCUUCUUUAAGGUCACCAUUUUAAGGAGAUUAGUGAGAAUAGCAGCAUUUUCAUAUCAGCAGUUAAUGUCUGGAGAAACUAGGAAAGCAGGAGUCCAGCAAUGGGCUAAUAUGUUUUAUGAGACAGAGGUCCAUCCAAACCUUUUCUAGGAAGUAACUGACACUUAAAGUAAAUAAAAUUGCCAACUGGAUAUGUAAUCCAUAUGCCAAAAAACAAAGAAGAAGGAAAGAAACUGCAGAACUGCAGACAUGGGUUAACUUAAAGGGUUAAACUGAAAUGAACACUUUCAGGUCAUGUUUCACUAGUUAGGAAAAAAAAAAACCAAAAAACCUAAACAAUAAACACCAUCUAGGUGUUUUUUCAGAGCCUAGAAAUAAAACCAUUUUGGACAUGCCCAAAUACUGUAUUUAUAAUUCUUCAUAUUACUUCUACAUACACUUUUAGGAAACUAUGAAUGACACCUUAAUAAGAAACCAGACUGAGUAUUUUAUGUACCAUAAAAACAGAUUCACAAAAGUCUGAUUAAAAAUCAAGACUAGAAUCUCCAGUGUGGCACGCAAUGUUUUGCUUUGCUCUAAAUACCAUCACUUAACUCUGAAAUUUACACUGAAGUAGUACCAAAGGUACUUACUGGCUGAGGCCUGAGGUUGAAUUCGAGGUAUUCCUCCAUUUGGCACUUGGAAGUUUGAGUCACUUCUGCUGUUUUUCACAGACUCAGCUUGGAUGUUAGAUGUCCUGGACAGGUUUGGAAGACUACGCCUUAGUUUUUCUGUAUGAAAUAAUACAAAGAUACAGCGUAGUCUGUAGUCUGAUGCUGGACAAAGGUCAGGCUGUGAACCCAUAGCUGACUCCCAAAUGUAAGUAACACAAAAUGUUAGCCAUAUAAAACUACAUUGCAAUUUAAAUCCAUUUGUAUUUUGUUGCAUUACUUCUUCUCAAAUCUAUCACAUACAAAAUAUUUAUGUAUCUAAAGAAUAAGAAUGUCUAUUUUUUACCUAUGAUGAAAAAAGUCAAGCAUAUUGUGUUUUGAAAUUGAAACAUAUCUGGAUUGUGAUUCUCUGGGUUUUAUUGUACUAUUAUCAAAGCGGAACAGACAAACCUAAUUUGCAGUUUUGCACAGUUUUCAAAUUAUUUACCUAGAAGGUUAUUUGUAACAAAAUGCUUGCCUGAAGAGUAAAAACAACAUAAACGUUUGAGUAAAUUUUUGAGACUGCCUUGUCCCGCAUCAGUCCAUUAUACUACAAAUAACAGACUCCCACUUGGUAAGGACUUCUUCAUACACAGCAUUCAAAAUUAUUGAAGUGUCCAGUUAUGCUUCAUCUUUCACAUAUGACUUGACUUAUCUACUCAGCUAAUACUUCAGGGGCCUUCUAAUAUUUGUACCACUGUUCACAGACUAUGAAAAGAUGCCAUUAAGUACUUCUCAAGUCUAAUGACAUUCUGUGUAUCUCCAACCCAUGCAGAGCUGGGUUGAUGACAUACUUUGGACAGAAGACUGAAGAUGCCUUGACAGGAUGAAUGGCCAACCUGAUUCUGCAGAGGGAUGCAGGGAAGAAGUAGGUUAACCAUACACAAGCACUAAAGGUGAAAACAAAACUAAGUCUUUACUGGCUGAAUAUUCCAAUAAGUGUACUCUCUUCACUUUGUAGUUUGCAUUCUUGGUACUGCGCUUGGUACAUUGUUGAACCCUGUCAACCAAAUUUCCCUCCAACCAUUCUAGACAAAUAAUAUUAAAAAAAAAAAAAAAACAACAAAAAAACCAAAACAAAAACCAAAAGAGAAAACCUGAACAACUUUUUUGGCUGCUGCUGUAUCGUCUCUGGAAUAUCCAAGCAACGCUCAACUGCACAAAAACCACUGCAAGAUAACUCCUUGGAAGUGUUUCAGAAACGCAUGAUCACACACUCUAUUUUGAUCCCUCUGGUAUGUGGGAUACUAGCUUUUGGUACCAUUCCUUUCAUAGGAUAUUUUUACUGCAGCUCAUCUAGCACGCAUUAAGACUUUCAUUUUUAGAAAUGAAAGGCAAAGGAAUUCUCAAUUAAGUUACAACAGAAUUGAUUAGCUUUUGUGUUGCACAUUUUUUUAGAUACUUAAAAUUUCCCCAAACCACUAUUACUAGUAAGGGCAGUUCUUAAUAUCUAAAUGUGUAUUCUUUCUAAAUUUAAAAUCUUACUUGCGGGAUAAAAAAUACUUUUGUUGAAAUGGGAAUGUGCUUGCAAAAUUUCAUCCCAGUAAAAGGAGUUUCCGCUAGAUUGCUACUAGGAAAAAGUACAUUCAAGAAGAAAAGUUGUAUCAGAAUUAUGUUAUUUUGUUCUAUGCCAAUAUAGUAUAACUGCAUUGAAUUUACUCCAAGCUUUAUUUAUUACGCAGCAGUUUUCACAGCUUUGAGAUCUGUAAAAUAUCCAACAAAUGCAUGAGGUAAGUACUAACUAUUAAGUACUAUUUUUAAGACUGUGUUCAUGAUUGAAAAUUUCAGAGUUCUGUGCAACCAGAAAGCAUUCAGCUGCUUCACAGGCUAUAGGCAUGCAUAAAUGGCUACAUUACUCUUAUCUGACCACAGUUACUUUCCUCUGCAUUUUGUCCGGUCAUCUGCAAGGCCUAACUCUACUAGUAAAUGAGUUUUCCUGCUUUAUUUGAGUGCAUUUGCCUGCCAAAUAUAGACCUUGGUCACUAUGAAAUUCAAUUAUACUCAUUAACUAGAUAACAUCUAAAAUAAAUAUAAGCCUAUCAACUCAUCUGACUGUAAGGGUGCCCCAGCAGAACUUAAGCUUUGCUUGCUCUGUGUCUUCUUCAGCAAUUCAGAGAUCAAACCACAAUGUUACACAGGCACAUAGUUUUAGGACUGCACACUCCUUUAUACAGAAACUACACAGCUGCUCCUGUAAUGAACUUCAAACAGUUUUUUACCUUCACUUUUGACAUUACUAGUUUGCAAGUCUGUAGGAUGGCCUUGAAGGGAAAGACGAGGUUGCUGUAAACGGCUAAUCAUAGGCUGUGGUGACACUCUACUGUACUCUAUGCUUCGAGCAGGUGAUCGGGAGCGAGGCGAAUUUCUUGGAGAUUGUUUUGGUGAAGGCCAGGGAGAACUGCGAGGUGAUGGUGAGAACCUGCUGACAGCAGGGUGCACCGUGUGAUG